rnacentral:rRNA from 1 species
AGACGUCUACAUUAAUACCCGUGUAGUCCAGGGUGUAAACGCUGCAGACUUGGUGUUGGGAACCCUUCGGGGGUGCUCAGUGCCGGAGAGAAGUUGUUAAGUCUGCUACUUGGGGAGUACGUCCGCAAGGAUGAAACUUAAAGGAAUUGGCGGGGGAGCACCGCAACGGGAGGAGCGUGCGGUUUAAUUGGAUUCAACGACCGAAAAACUCACCAGCAGCGACUGUUACAUGAAAGUCAGGUUGAUGACCUUACUAGAUUUUCAG